rnacentral:tRNA from 1 species
UAAAAGAUAAGCUAAAUUAAGCUAUUAGGUUCAUACCCUAAGAAUGGAUGUAUCCUCUUUUUA